GACGAACGCUGGCGGCGUGCUUAACACAUGCAAGUCGAACGGAAAGGCCCUGCUUUUGUGGGGUGCUCGAGUGGCGAACGGGUGAGUAACACGUGAGUAACCUGCCCUUGACUUUGGGAUAACUUCAGGAAACUGGGGCUAAUACCGGAUAGGAGCUCCUGCUGCAUGGUGGGGUUGGAAAGUUUCGGCGGUUGGGGAUGGACUCGCGGCUUAUCAGCUUGUUGGUGGGGUAGUGGCUUACCAAGGCUUUGACGGGUAGCCGGCCUGAGAGGGUGACCGGCCACAUUGGGACUGAGAUACGGCCCAGACUCCUACGGGAGGCAGCAGUGGGGAAUAUUGCACAAUGGGCGGAAGCCUGAUGCAGCAACGCCGCGUGCGGGAUGACGGCCUUCGGGUUGUAUACCGCUUUCGCCUGUGACGAAGCGUGAGUGACGGUAAUGGGUAAAGAAGCACCGGCUAACUACGUG
rnacentral:rRNA from 1 species